rnacentral:rRNA from 1 species
AUUGAACGCUGGCGGCAGGCUUAACACAUGCAAGUCGAGCGGGGUGAUGGUGCUUGCACUAUCACUUAGCGGCGGACGGGUGAGUAAUGCUUAGGAAUCUGCCUAUUAGUGGGGACAACAUCUCGAAAGGGAUGCUAAUACCGCAUACGUCCUACGGGAGAAAGCAGGGGAUCACUUGUGACCUUGCGCUAAUAGAUGAGCCUAAGUCGGAUUAGCUAGUUGGUGGGGUAAAGGCCUACCAAGGCGACGAUCUGUAGCGGGUCUGAGAGGAUGAUCCGCCACACUGGGACUGAGACACGGCCCAGACUCCUACGGGAGGCAGCAGUGGGGAAUAUUGGACAAUGGGGGGAACCCUGAUCCAGCCAUGCCGCGUGUGUGAAGAAGGCCUUAUGGUUGUAAAGCACUUUAAGUGAGGAGGAGGCUCUUUUGGUUAAUACCCAAGAUGAGUGGACGUUACUCGCAGAAUAAGCACCGGCCAACUCUGUGCCAGCCGCCGCAGUAA